rnacentral:rRNA from 1 species
CCGAGGAAAAGAAAUCAACCGAGAUUCCCCCAGUAGCGGCGAGCGAACGGGGAGCAGCCCAGAGCCUGAAUCAGUAUGUGUGUUAGUGGAAGCGUCUGGAAAGGCGCGCGAUACAGGGUGACAGCCCCGUACACAAAAAUGCACAUGCUGUGAGCUCGAUGAGUAGGGCGGGACACGUGGUAUCCUGUCUGAAUAUGGGGGGACCAUCCUCCAAGGCUAAAUACUCCUGACUGACCGAUAGUGAACCAGUACCGUGAGGGAAAGGCGAAAAGAACCCCGGCGAGGGGAGUGAAAAAGAACCUGAAACCGUGU